CCGUGUCUUCCAGCUGGAGCGGAGAGAACCUGGAUGUGCCAGCACAGAUGGGAAGAGAGACUGGGGGCUCCUCAGCUGCCAGGGCCACAGAAGGCUGUUCCCAUGGCAGUGGAGGGAAGAAGCUCCCCACCAAGCCCCCAGGAAGUGAGCGUGGAUUAAAACAGCACCGUCUUAGAGUGCCCCCCCCCCCUCGCGCUCACCAGCCAGAUGGCAUCCUUGGCAACUGCGGAGGCAGCAGCGUAAUUAAGUAACGACGUAAAUCAAGAAGGAACAGAUCGUUCUCCGUGAACCGGCAAUUUAGUGGCGCAGAUGCACGUGGACCUCGCAGGGAUCCUUCGCUGGGGCAGCAUGUGUGUGGGGAAGGCGGGAGGAGGGCGAGUUAGACUCGGAUGUGCAGACCGGCAGGCUGUCCAGUGGGGCUCGGCUUCCCCCUGUGACCUCGCUGCUCUAGCUGUCCUGGGCGCCGUCUGCUCUCACGGCCGCCUUCCAUCCUGUUCUACACUCGGUGGGAAUUCUGUGCUUCCUGGGGCAAGUAAAUGGCAAUAAAGGUAAACUGAGGUAC